rnacentral:rRNA from 1 species
UACGGAGGGUGCGAGCGUUGUCCGGAAUCACUGGGCGUCAAGGGCGCGUAGGUGGCUUUUCAAGCGCGCGGUGAAAGCCCGGGGCUCAACCCCGGGUCGGCCGUGCGGACUGGGAGGCUUGAGCACUGUAGGGGCGGGUGGAAUUCCGGGUGUAGCGGUGGAAUGCGUAGAGAUCCGGAAGAACACCGGUGGCGAAGGCGGCCCGCUGGGCAGGAAGGCUCGCAAGAGCCGGCUGACACUGAGGCGCGACAGCGUGGGGAGCAAACAGG